rnacentral:rRNA from 1 species
UACAGAGGUCUCAAGCGUUGUUCGGAAUCAUUGGGCGUAAAGAGCGUGUAGGCGGCCAGAUAAGUCCGCUGUGAAAUCUCGAGGCUCAACUUCGAGCUGUCGGUGGAAACUGUCUGGCUAGAGUCCGGAAGAGGAGAAUGGAAUUCCUGGUGUAGCGGUGAAAUGCGCAGAUAUCAGGAAGAACACCCGUGGCGAAGGCGGUUCUCUGGGACGGUACUGACGCUGAGACGCGAAAGCGUGGGGAGCGAACAGG